AACCCCAUGUUGUACACAGUUUUCCUUUACUUAGUACAGUCUUUCUUUUUUUUUUAAUUCAACCUGUUUUAUUCAAAUUGGCUGAAGUGUUGAAUUGCAUUCUUGUGUAAAAUCCCUAGUGAGUAUUUGCUCCUUAACAUCAACAUUCCCCUCAUGUCUUUGGUAAAUUGUAUUUUAAUUGAUGUCAGUCAGGAUUGUUUCGAUUUAGUUCUAGUUAAAUACCAACACUCUUCAAACUGUGGUAUUGCUGUGUAAAUGUCUCAGUGUUCAGCUAUGGUUUAUACGAGCUGGGGAUGUUGGGAUGUUUGUGGCUAACUUGUCUCUUCUGGGGGAUCUUAUAUUUUAUCUUGCCUUUUCGUGUGUCUUUCUGUAGACAUAUCUGAAGAGAUGGAUUAAGAAUGCUUUGGAUUAAAGGAUUGUGGAGCACAUGUCAAUCAUUUUAGGAUUGUCAAAAGGAGGAUUGAGGAGGAUCAGAUCAAUAAUGGAGGCAAUGGUUUGGAUUGGAGAGGGCUCACUGGAUCCCAAUCCUUGGAGCUGGAUCAUUGGAUUCAAAUCAUAAUGUGGAUAGGAUAGGGAGGCUGAAUUACAAGGAUUCAUGGAGCGGGAUCAAAUUACCAGGAACAUAGGAGUGGAUUCCUGCCCCAACCAAACCGCAUUCGUGUGGAUUUUUUUUUUAUUCAACUCAAUUGGCUAUUCCAAAGAUUUUUUUUUUCCUAUUUUUGACGAUUGGAGCCCUUAAGAUGCACGAUGGAGUU